rnacentral:rRNA from 1 species
UAGGGAAUCUUCCACAAUGGACGCAAGUCUGAUGGAGCAACGCCGCGUGAGUGAAGAAGGUUUUCGGAUCGUAAAGCUCUGUUGUUGGUGAAGAAGGAUAGAGGCAGUAACUGGUCUUUAUUUGACGGUAAUCAACCAGAAAGUCACGGCUAACUACGUGCCAGCAGCCGCGGUAAUACGUAGGUGGCAAGCGUUGUCCGGAUUUAUUGGUCGUAAAGCGAGCGCAGGCGGAAUGAUAAGUAUGAUGUGAAAGCCCACGGCUCAACCGUGGAACUGCAUCGGAAACUGUCAUUCUUGAGUGCAGAAGAGGAGAGUGGAAUUCCAUGUGUAGCGGUGGAAUGCGUAGAUAUAUGGAAGAACACCAGUGGCGAAGGCGGCUCUCUGGUCUGCAACUGACGCUGAGGCUCGAAAGCAUGGGUAGCGAACAGG